rnacentral:rRNA from 1 species
GACGGGUAACGGAGAAUUAGGGUUCGAUUCCGGAGAGGGAGCCUGAGAAACGGCUACCACAUCUAAGGAUGGCAGCAGGCGCGCAAAUUACCCAAUCCUAACUCAGGGAGGUAGUGACAAGAAAUAACAACUUCGGGCUUGCCCGAGAUUGGAAUGAGUACAACGUACAAUCUUUAACGAGUACCAACUGGAGGGCAAGUCUGGUGCCAGCAGCCGCGGUAAUUCCAGCUCCAGUAGCGUAUACUAAAGUUGUUGCAGUUAAAAAGCUCGUAGUUGAAUUUCUGUGUAGUGUACUUGCGGUCUCCGGACCAAUAUAUACUGCACAUCCAUCUGAACAGCACUUCUUGUCAUUCAUUUGUCGGUUGUGUGAUCAGAUACUUUACCUUGAGAAAAAUAGAGUGUUCCAAGCAGGCGUCCGCCUGAAUAAUAAAGCAUGGAAUAAUACAAUAGGACUGGGUUCUAUUGGUGCAUAGAACUUAGUAAUGAUUAAUAGGGACAGUUGGGGGCAUUUGUAUUUAAUUGUCGAGGUGAAAUUCUUUGAUUUAUUAAAGACAAACCUAUGCGAAAGCAUUUGCCAAGGAUGUUUUCAUUAAUCAAGAACGAAAGUUAAGGGAUCGAAGACGAUCAGAUACCGUCGUAGUCUUAACCAUAAACUAUGCCGACUAGAGAUUGGAGGUGCAAUCUCAAUACUCCUUCAGCAUCUUAGGAGAAAUCAAAGUCUUUGGGUUCUGGGGGUAGUAUGGUCGCAAGACUGAAACUUAAAGGAAUUGACGGAAGGGCACCACAAGGUGUGGAGCCUGCGGCUUAAUUUGACCCAACACGGGGAAACUUACCAGGUCCAGACAUGGGAAGGAUUGACAGAUUGGAGAUCUUUCUUGAUUCCAUGGAUGGUGGUGCAUGGCCGUUCUUAGUUGGUGGAGUGAUUUGUCAGGUUAAUUCCGAUAACGAACGAGACCUCAACCUGCUAACUAGUUGCAGCUUCUUUCAAGUUGUAGACUUCUUAGAGGGACUAUAGGAUUUAACCUAAGGAAGUUUGAGGCAAUAACAGGUCUGUGAUGCCCUUAGAUGUCCUGGGCCGCACGCGCGCUACACUGAUGCAGGCACUAAGUCUCCAAUUUCGAAAGAUUUUGGGAACCUUCAAACUGCAUCGUGCUGGGGAUUGACACUUGUAAUUAUUUGUCAUCAACGAGGAAUACCUAGUAAGCGCAAGUCAUCAGCUUGCACUGAUUACGUCCCUGCCCUUUGUACACACCGCCCGUCGCUCCUACCGAUUGGGUGAUGCGGUGAGCCUUUCGGACGGGCGCUUCGGCGCCUGAAAGUUAUGCAAAUCUCAUCACUUAGAGGAAGGAGAAGUCGUAACAAGGUU